rnacentral:sRNA from 1 species
GUUACUCUUAAAUAAUUUAUAUAAUUUGCAUGCGAGACACGAAUAUUUCUAAUUUUGAUUGCGAUUAGAUAAUCAAGAUUUUAGUAAGGAUGACGUGGUCUCCUGCUAAAAACCCUGCCAAGAUAUUUCUUGGCAGGGUUUUUGUG